rnacentral:rRNA from 1 species
GACGAACGCUGGCGGCGUGCUUAACACAUGCAAGUCGAACGGAAAGGCCCUGCUUUUGUGGGGUGCUCGAGUGGCGAACGGGUGAGUAACACGUGAGUAACCUGCCCUUGACUUUGGGAUAACUUCAGGAAACUGGGGCUAAUACCGGAUAGGAGCUCCUGCUGCAUGGUGGGGGUUGGAAAGUUUCGGCGGUUGGGGAUGGACUCGCGGCUUAUCAGCUGGUUGGUGGGGUAGUGGCUUACCAAGGCUUUGACGGGUAGCCGGCCUGAGAGGGUGACCGGCCACAUUGGGACUGAGAUAGGGCCCAGACUGCUACGGGAGGCAGCAGGGGGGAAUAUUACACAAUGGGCGGAAGCCAGAUGCAGCAACGCCGCGUGCGGGAUGACGGCCUUCGGGUUGUAAACCGAUUUCGCCUGUGACGAAGCGUGAGUGACGGUAAUGGGUAAAGAAGCACCGGCUAACUACGUG